CGCGGGAAGCAGGCAGAUCCUCUUCGGAGGUGACGCCUGUGGAACGAGCGGCGGACGGGUGAGUAACACGUGGGCAACCUGCCUGUAAGAUUGGGAUAACCCCGGGAAACCGGGGCUAAUACCGGAUAAUACUUUUCGUUGCAUAACGAGAAGUUGAAAGGCGGCUUUUAGCUGUCACUUACAGAUGGGCCCGCGGCGCAUUAGCUAGUUGGUAAGGUAACGGCUUACCAAGGCGACGAUGCGUAGCCGACCUGAGAGGGUGAUCGGCCACACUGGGACUGAGACACGGCCCAGACUCCUACGGGAGGCAGCAGUAGGGAAUCUUCCGCAAUGGACGAAAGUCUGACGGAGCAACGCCGCGUGAGUGAUGAAGGUUUUCGGAUCGUAAAACUCUGUUGUCAGGGAAGAACAAGUGCCGUUCGAAUAGGGCGGCACCUUGACGGUACCUGACCAGAAAGCCCCGGCUAACUACGUGCCAGCAGCCGCGGUAAUACGUAGGGGGCAAGCGUUGUCCGGAAUUAUUGGGCGUAAAGCGCGCGCAGGCGGUCCUUUAAGUCUGAUGUGAAAGCCCACGGCUUAACCGUGGAGGGCCAUUGGAAACUGGAGGACUUGAGUACAGAAGAGGAGAGUGGAAUUCCACGUGUAGCGGUGAAAUGCGUAGAGAUGUGGAGGAACACCAGUGGCGAAGGCGACUCUCUGGUCUGUAACUGACGCUGAGGUGCGAAAGCGUGGGGAGCGAACAGGAUUAGAUACCCUGGUAGUCCACGCCGUAAACGAUGAGUGCUAGGUGUUAGGGGGUUUCCGCCCCUUAGUGCUGAAGUUAACGCAUUAAGCACUCCGCCUGGGGAGUACGGCCGCAAGGCUGAAACUCAAAAGAAUUGACGGGGGCCCGCACAAGCGGUGGAGCAUGUGGUUUAAUUCGAAGCAACGCGAAGAACCUUACCAGGUCUUGACAUCCUCUGCCAAUCCUAGAGAUAGGAUGUUCCCUUCGGGGACAGAGUGACAGGUGGUGCAUGGUUGUCGUCAGCUCGGGUCGUGAGAUGUUGGGUUAAGUCCCGCAACGAGCGCAACCCUUGAUCUUAGUUGCCAGCAUUUAGUUGGGCACUCUAAGGUGACUGCCGGUGACAAACCGGAAGAAAGUUGGGGAUGACGUCAAAUCAUCAUGCCCC
rnacentral:rRNA from 1 species